rnacentral:rRNA from 1 species
CCUACGGGGAGCAGCAGUGAGGAAUAUUGGUCAAUGGGAGAGAUCCUGAACCAGCCAAGCCGCGUGAGGGAAGACGGCCCUAUGGGUUGUAAACCUCUUUUGUCGGAGAACAAAACCCGGGACGUGUCCCGGACUGCGUGUAUCCGAAGAAAAAGCAUCGGCUAAAUACGUGCCAGCAGCCGCGGUAAUACGUAUGGAGCAAGCGUUAUCCGGAUUUACUGGGUGUAAAGGGAGCGCAGGCGGCCUUGCAAGUCUGAUGUGAAAUACCGGGGCUCAACCCCGGAGCUGCAUUGGAAACUGUGAGGCUGGAGUGUCGGAGAGGCAGGCGGAAUGCCUGGUGUAGCGGUGAAAUGCGUAGAUAGUAGGAGGAACACCAGUGGCGAAGGCGGCCUGCUGGACGAUGACUGACGCUGAGGCUCGAAAGCGUGGGGAGCAAACAGGAUUAGAUACCCGAGUAGUC